GGGAAAGAUUCAAGGGCGCUCCGAUGCGACAGACUGUUGUUCAUGAAGCUGUGACGUACAUGCAUUCUGGAGUCAAUUACACGUGCGAAUUAGGCGCAUGCGACUCAACUGUUUGUAAACCUUACGACCUCCUGAUAGGCUGCUGGAAAGAUUAAUUUAGCUAUAAAUAAAUGAGACGUGCUGGAA